UGAGGAAUAUUGGUCAAUGGGCGAGAGCCUGAACCAGCCAAGUAGCGUGCGGGAUGAAGGCCCUAUGGGUUGUAAACCGCUUUUACAGGGGGAUAAAGUGAGUCACGCGUGAUUCAUUGCAGGUACCCUGCGAAUAAGGACCGGCUAAUUCCGUGCCAGCAGCCGCGGUAAUACGGAAGGUCCGGGCGUUAUCCGGAUUUAUUGGGUUUAAAGGAGCGUAGGCCGGAGAUUAAGCGUGUUGUGAAAUGUAGUGGCUCAACCUCUGCACUGCAGCGCGAACUGGUCUUCUUGAGUACGCACAACGUGGGCGGAAUUCGUGGUGUAGCGGUGAAAUGCUUAGAUAUCACGAAGAACUCCGAUUGCGAAGGCAGCUCACGGGAGCGCAACUGACGCUGAAGCUCGAAAGUGCGGGUAUCGAACAGGAUUAGAUACCCUGGUAGU
rnacentral:rRNA from 1 species